GUGCCACCACCCGCGGUAAUACCGGCGCCUCAUGUGGUGUUCGCUUUUAUUGGGCCUAAAACGUCCGUAGCCGGUCUGAUACAUUCUUGGGGAAAUCACCCAGCUCAACUGGUUGAAUUCUGCGAGGACGGUCAAACUUGGGACCGGGAGAGGUGUGGGGUACGCUCAGGGUAGGGGUGAAAUCCUGUCUUCCCGAGCGGACCACCUGUUGGGAAGGCGCCACACUAGAACGGAUCCGACGGUCAGGGACGAAGCCUAGGGGCACGAACCGGAUUAGAUACCCGGGUAGUCCUACGUGUAAACGCUGUGGACUUGAUGUUGGGGGUGCUCCGAGCACUCUCAGUGUCGAAGCGAAGGUGAUAAGUCCACUGCCUGGGAAGUACGGUCGCAAGGCUGAAACUUAAAGGAAUUGGGGGGGGAGCACCGCAACCUGAGGAUUGUGCGGUUUAAUUGGAUUCAACGCCCGAAAACUCACCAUAGCCGACGGACAUAUGAACGUCAGUGUAAUGAACUUACCCGAUUGUUCGAGAGGUAGUGCAUGGCCGCCGUCAGUUCGUACCGCAAGGCGUUUUGUUAAGUCAGAUAAUGAACGAGACCCUCAUCUCUAUUUGCUAACUAUAUCUCCGGAUUUAGUGCACUAUAGACAGACUGCUGGCGUUAAGUAAGAGGAAGGGGAGGGCAACGGUAGGUCAUAUGCUCCGAAUGCCAUGGGCUACCCGCGCAAUACAAAGGACGGGACAAUGGGCUGCUGCUCCGAAAGGAACCAUAGCUAUCCCGAAAUUCGUUCGUAGUUGGGUGGGAGGGCUGUAACUCGCCCUCAAGAAGCGGGAUUAGGUAGUAAUCGCAUUUAAAAAAGGGGGGGGGAAUUCCCCUCCUUCUUCGCACACACCGGCCGUC
rnacentral:rRNA from 1 species